rnacentral:sRNA from 1 species
GUCUCCAGCAGCUCUUCUCGGCCCAGCACUGCAGCAUCCAGCAAGGGCAGGUUUUGUUGGCUUUUAGGAAUCACAUUACGGGUGGCAUAUAUAUCAUCUUUUCUUGCUGCAGAGAGCCGCCACAGUAGCUGAGAGGAGGGCACACAAAUGCAUUCUACAUUUUGCUCAUGGAAGAAGACGUAACUUGAUUUUCAAUCGCAAGCAGCUCACUCCCAUUCUCAGUUUGCUGGUCAUUUAGAAGCUCAUUUCUUUUAUUUGCUUAAGCGGUGCACUUGGGUUUUAUUAGAUCACGCUUGAACCUAGAAGGAUUUAUAUACUCCACAUUUUGCUGACGCGUUGCAUCUCAAGGCAGUAGAUACAUUUCCUUAUUCACCCAUAGCAUUCAAGUGGUUACACAAGCUGAAUUUAAAUUUCAUUUUGGGAUUUAUUGUGUUGCAAAUUGAUAAGGGAGCUCAUUCACUUGGAAAAGGGGUGCUACGACCUAGGAAUGGAAUUCGGAUUUUAUUGCAGCAGCAGGGGAAUCUACUUUUCUUUUCUUUCUUUAGAGGUUAGAAUGGUGAUUCAACAUUGGGAGCAUUUUUAUUUCUUUCUUUUAAUACGUUCGGCAUAAGGGCUAAUGAGGUGAUUGAUUUUGGAGGCACACGGUGCAUUGGAGUGACGGCUUUAGUUUUUUUUACUUCUUCAAGCAUUUAAUGUUAAAUUUCUUUAAGCAUUCAUUUCAAUUGCCCGUCAUUCUCAGUUUGCAUUUAAUUGUUUAGCUUAAUGUUGUACUUUAGCUCAAUGUUGUACUUUUAAUUUGGUGAAAG